UACGUAGGGGGCCAGCGUUGUUCGGAAUUACUGGGUGUAAAGGGUUCGUAGGCGGUGUGGCAAGUUGGGAGUGAAAUCUCUGGGCUCAACCCAGAGACGGCUUCCAAAACUGCCGUGCUUGAGUGUGAGAGAGGCUCGUGGAAUUGCAGGUGUAGCGGUGAAAUGCGUAGAUAUCUGCAGGAACACCCGUGGCGAAAGCGGCGAGCUGGAUCACUACUGACGCUGAAGAACGAAAGCUAGGGGAGCAAACAGG
rnacentral:rRNA from 1 species